rnacentral:rRNA from 1 species
AGAGUUUGAUCAUGGCUCAGGAUGAACGCUAGCGGCAGGCUUAACACAUGCAAGUCGAGGGGCAGCGCGGGAUAGCAAUAUCCUGGCGGCGACCGGCGGAAGGGUGCGUAACGCGUGAGCGACAUGCCCGUUGCCCGGGGACAACCGGUGGAAACGCCGACUAAUCCCCGAUGGGAUACGAUGCUUCAUGGCAUUGUAUUGAAAGUUACGGCGGCGACGGAUUGGCUCGCGUCCGAUUAGCUUGUUGGCGGGGUAACGGCCCACCAAGGCUACGAUCGGUAGGGGUUCUGAGAGGAAGGCCCCCCACAAUGGGACUGAGACACGGCCCAUACUCCUACGGGAGGCAGCAGUGAGGAAUAUUGGUCAAUGGGCGGAAGCCUGAACCAGCCGUGCCGCGUGCGGGAAGGAGGCCCUAUGGGCUGUGAACCGCUUUUGCCUGGGGGCAAUAAGGGCGUCGCGCACGUCCGAUGAGAGUACCAGGCGAAUAAGCAUCGGCUAACUCCGUGCCAGCAGCCGCGGUAAUACGGGGGAUGCGAGCGUUAUCCGGAUUCAUUGUGUUUAAAGGGUGCGUAGGCUGUGCGUCAAGUCGGGGGUGAAAUUCCGGUGCUCAACACCGGGGCUGCCCUUGAUACUGUCGCGCUGGAGUGCGGAUGCCGCCGGAGGAAUGAGUGGUGUAGCGGUGAAAUGCUUAGAUAUCACUCAGAACACCGAUUGCGAAGGCAUCUGGCGAAUCCGUAACUGACGCUGAGGCACGAAAGCGUGGGGAUAGAACAGGAUUAGAUACCCUGGUAUUCCACGCCGUAAACGAUGAUGGCUAACCGCCGGCGACACACUGUCGGUGGCCAAGCGAAAGCGAUAAGCCAUCCACCUGGGGAGUACGUCGGCAACGAUGAAACUCAAAGGAAUUGACGGGGACCCGCACAAGCGGUGGAGCAUGUGGUUUAAUUCGAAGCAACGCGAAGAACCUUACCAAGUCUUGACAUCCGCCUGACCGACCCUUAACCGGAUCUUUCCUUCGGGACAGGCGAGACAGGUGGUGCAUGGUUGUCGUCAGCUCGUGUCGUGAGAUGUUGGGUUAAGUCCCGCAACGAGCGCAACCCCUAUCCUCAGUAGCCAGCAUUUAAGGUGGGCACUCUGGGGAGACUGCCAGGGAUAACCUGGAGGAAGGCGGGGAUGACGUCAAAUCAUCAUGCCCCUUAUGAUUUGGGCUACACACGCGCUACAAUGGCGUAAACAAAGGGAAGCGAGAUUGUGAGGUGGAGCAAAUCCCAAAAAUAACGUCCCAGUUCGGACUGUAGUCUGCAACCCGACUACACGAAGCUGGAAUCGCUAGUAAUCGCGGAUCAGAAUGCCGCGGUGAAUACGUUCCCGGGUCUUGUACACACCGCCCGUCACACCAUGGGAGUCAGUAACGCCCGAAGUCAGUGACCUAACUGCAAAGAAGGAGCUGCCGAAGGCGGGACCGAUGACUGGGGUGAAGUCGUAACAAGGUA